GACAGAGGUGCCAAGCGUUAGGCGGAAUCACUGGGCUUAAAGCGUGUGUAGGCGGAUUUUUAAGUACCUUGUGAAAUCCCACAGCUCAACUGUGGAACUGCUCGGUAUACUGGAAAUCUUGAGCCACUUAGGGGGCUGUCGGAACAAGCGGUGGAGCGGGUGAAAAUGCGUAGAUAUCGCUUGGGAACGCCCAAAAGGGUGAAAAACAAGACAGCUGGGGAGUGUGCUGACGCUGAGACACGAAAGCCAGGGGAGCGAAACGGGG
rnacentral:rRNA from 1 species